UUCUAACUGUAACUGACAGUUAGACUUACAGGUUAUGUCGUUGUCUUUUGUUUGAAUUGUUUAUGUGUCCGCUGUGCGGGGGAAAUGAUAAUACAAGCGGAACUACGUAGCUAAUACUGUUGUAACGGGGAUCCUUAUUGUAGCAACACACCUUUGGAGGGAAGGCAAUCCUGCGCUGCGUUAGCUAAGUUUUCAUGUCAUCGGGUGUAGUUCAUAAUGGUUGAAGAGUGUAUGUUAGGAUGAAGUGUGAAUUCAUGCCAGGAAUAAUAAGUGUGAAGUUUAAUUUCCUCCCUUCUGUAAUAAGCAGCCAAUGAGUUCUCACGGAAGGUGAUAAUUCUGACUAAAACUACAGAAUAAAGCCGCCAGUUAAAAUCAA